rnacentral:rRNA from 1 species
AAUUGCUAGUAAUGGCAGGUCAGCAUACUGCCGUGAANACGUUCCCGGGCCUUGUACACACCGCCCGUCACACCAUGAGAGUUGGGAAUACCCGAAGCCUGUGAGCUAACUUAUAGAGGCAGCAGUCGAAGGUAGAAUCAAUGAUUGGGGUGAAGUCGUAACAAGGUACC